UAACACGUGAGUGACCUGCCUUUUAGACUGGAACAACUUACCGAAAGGUGAGCUAAUGCCGGAUGAGUUAUAUAAGUGCAUGUUUAUAUAGGAAAAGUUGGGGAGACCUGACGCUGAAAGAUGGACUCGCGUCCCAUUAGCUAGUUGGUAGGGUAAUGGCCUACCAAGACGACGAUGGGUAGCCGGCCUGAGAGGGUGGCCGGCCACACUGGGACUGAGACACGGCCCAGACUCCUACGGGAGGCAGCAGUGGGGAAUUUUGCGCAAUGCUCGUAAGAGUGACGCAGCGACGCCGCGUGAAUGACGAAGGCCUUCGGGUCGUAAAGUUCUUUCGACAGGGAAGAAAAUGCCUAUAAGUAACUGUGUAUGUAUUGACGGUACCUGUAUAAGCAGCCCCGGCUAACUCCGUGCCAGCAGCCGCGGUAAUACGGAGGGGGCGAGCGUUGUUCGGAGUGACUGGGCGUAAAGAGCACGUAGGCGGUGUUGUAAGUCAUUAGUCAAAGACUAGAGCUCAACUUUAGUAAGGCUAGUGAUACUAUAAUACUAGAGUAUCAGAGAGGAUUGCAGAAUUCCUGGUGUAGCGGUGAAAUGCGUAGAUAUCAGGAGGAAUACCGUUAGCGAAGGCGGCAAUCUGGCUGGAAACUGACGCUGAGGUGCGAAAGCGUGGGUAGCAAACAGGAUUAGAUACCCUGGUAGUCC
rnacentral:rRNA from 1 species